rnacentral:tRNA from 1 species
GGGAUUGUAGCUCAGCGGUAGAGUGCUAGCCUUGUGCUCGAGAGGCCCUGGGUUCGAUCCUCAGCACCA